GUCUACAGCCAUACCACCCUGAACAUGCCAGAUCUCGUCUGCUCUCGGAAGCUAAGCAGGGUUAGGCCUGGUUAGUACUUGGAUGGGAGAAUCAGAAAAAAAGGAAGAAAGACU
ensembl:rRNA 5S_rRNA 5S ribosomal RNA